UACAGAGGUCCCAAGCGUUGUUCGGAUUCACUGGGCGUAAAGGGUGCGUAGGUGGUGAGGUAAGUCGGAUGUGAAAGCUCGGAGCUCAACUCCGAAAUGGCAUUGGAAACUACCUUGCUCGAGGGUUGGAGGGGGGACUGGAAUACUUGGUGUAGCAGUGAAAUGCGUAGAUAUCAAGUGGAACACCAGUGGCGAAGGCGAGUCCCUGGACAACUCCUGACACUGAGGCACGAAAGCUAGGGGGGCAAACAGG
rnacentral:rRNA from 1 species